rnacentral:lncRNA from 1 species
UUAUACACUAUAAAGAGAUUAAAUCAUAUUCUAUUUUUUACAUGCAAAGAGGGAAAAAAAUAUGGCUGAGAUUCACAAGUUUAUUUAUGUUGUGAUUCUAUUUCUUUCUUUAUUUCUUGUCACAGCGGAAUUUGAUGUUGGUAAGCCAUUGUUUCAUCCUUCUGAAAUUUCCUUAUUUACUUCGUAGUUCGUGCACAAUCUUUUAUCAUGUUCAGUUUUACUAAAAUAUUAUGUAUUGUCUUUUUUCAUUACACAGAUUAUUUUGAACCACCUUGUCAAA